rnacentral:lncRNA from 1 species
CCCCCUUCCCUUUCAUGAAUGUGACCUACCGAAUUAGACUAUUUACCGGAUUUGUAAUCACAUAAGCAACACGACGGGUGCCACAUGUGGAGCAGGAUCUGCUUACCCUUCCGGAGCACCUGAGAUCACCCCUAGUUUUUUGUGGGGUUCGUGUUGUUUAUUCUUUAGUUUUCUAUGUUGUGUCAUGUGUACUAUUGUUUUUCUGUUUGUCUUUUUCAUUUUUAGCCAUGGCGUUGUCAGUUUGUUUUAGAUUUAUGAGUUUGACUGUCCCUUUGGUAUCUUUCGUCC